rnacentral:ncRNA from 2 species
CUUAAUUUGAUUCAACACAUGGAAACUUACUAGGUCAAUACAUCAUAAACAUUGACAGACUUAGAGCUCUUUCUUGUAUCUAUGGGUGGUGGUUCAUGGUCGUUCUUAGUUGGUGAAGCGAUUUGUCUGGUUAAUUCCGUUAACGAAUGAGACCCCAGCCUACUAACUAGCUAUGCAGAGGUAUCUAGACCAACUUCUUAGAGGGACUAGGACCUUUUAGGCCUUGGAUGAUUCUUUGUUAGUGUGAGUGUUGCAUCUUUGUCCUGUCUUG